AACGUAGGACACAAGCGUUAUCCGGAGUUACUGGGCGUAAAGGGCGUUUAGGCGGGUGAUUAAGUUCGCUAUGAAGGCGCCAGGCUAAACCUGGCGAGGCUGGCGGAUACUGGUCAUCUGGAGUGAGGGAGAGGGUAGUGGAAUUCCCGGUGUAGCGGUGAAAUGCGUAGAUAUCGGGAGGAACAUCAGUGGCGAAGGCGGCUACCUGGCCCAACACUGACACUCAGGUGCGACAGCGUGGGGAGCAAACAGG
rnacentral:rRNA from 1 species